rnacentral:rRNA from 1 species
AUUGAACGCUGGCGGCAUGCCUUACACAUGCAAGUCGAACGGUAACGGGCCUUCGGGUGCCGACGAGUGGCGAACGGGUGAGUAAUACAUCGGAACGUGCCCGAUCGUGGGGAUAACGAGGCGAAAGCUUUGCUAAUACCGCAUACGAUCUACGGAUGAAAGCAGGGGACCGCAAGGCCUUGCGCGGACGGAGCGGCCGAUGGCAGAUUAGGUAGUUGGUGGGAUAAAAGCUUACCAAGCCGACGAUCUGUAGCUGGUCUGAGAGGAUGAUCAGCCACACUGGGACUGAGACACGGCCCAGACUCCUACGGGAGGCAGCAGUGGGGAAUUUUGGACAAUGGGCGCAAGCCUGAUCCAGCCAUGCCGCGUGCAGGAUGAAGGCCUUCGGGUUGUAAACUGCUUUUGUACGGAACGAAAAGCCUUCUUUUAAUACAGGAGGGUCAUGACGGUACCGUAAGAAUAAGCACCGGCUAACUACGUG